rnacentral:pre_miRNA from 1 species
GUGCUACUCCCUCCGUUCGGAAUUACUUGUCUCAGAAAUGGAUGUAUCUAGAACUAAAAUACAUCUAGAUACAUCCAUUUCCGCGACAAGUAAUUCCGAACAGAGGGAGUAUUAU